UAACCGACGCUCAUGCUCGAAGGCGCGGGUAUCAAACAGGAUUAGAUACCCUGGUAGUCCGCGCAGUAAACGAUGGAUGCCCGCGGUGUGGGGUUUUUCCUUGCGCCGCCAAGCGAAAGCGUUAAGCAUCCCACCUGGGGAGUACGCCGGCAACGGUGAAACUCAAAGGAAUUGACGGGGGCCCGCACAAGCGGAGGAACAUGUGGUUUAAUUCGAUGAUACGCGAGGAACCUUACCCGGGCUUGAAAGGCAUUCGACAGGACACAGAGACGUGUCCCUUCUUCGGACGGAUGCCUAGGUGCUGCAUGGUUGUCGUCAGCUCGUGCCGUGAGGUGUCGGCUCAAGUGCCAUAACGAGCGCAACCCCUACCGCCGGUUACCAUCGGGUGAUGCCGGGGACUCCGGCGGCACUGCCGCCGCAAGGCGCGAGGAAGGUGGGGAUGACGUCAAAUCAGCACGGCCCUUACGUCCGGGGCCACACACGUGUUACAAUGGGGGGCACAGAAAGCUGGAUGCCGGCGACGGUGUCCGAAUCCUCAAAUCCCCUCCCAGUUCGGACUGGAGUCUGCAACCCGACUCCACGAAGCUGGAUUCGCUAGUA
rnacentral:rRNA from 1 species